GACGAACGCUGGCGGCGUGCUUAACACAUGCAAGUCGAACGGAAAGGCCCUGCUUUUGUGGGGUGCUCGAGUGGCGAAAGGGUGAGUAACACGUGAGUAACCUGCCCUUGACUGUGGGAUAACUUCAGGAAACUGGGGCUAAUACCGGAUAGGAGCUCCUGCUGCAUGGUGGGGGUUGGAAAGUUUCGGCGGUUGGGGAUGGGCUCGCGGCUUAUCAGCUUGUUGGUGGGGUAGUGGCUUACCAAGGCUUUGACGGGUAGCCGGCCUGAGAGGGUGAACGGCCACAUUCGGACUGAGAUACGGCCCAGACUCCUACCGGAGGCAGCAGUGGGGAAUAUUGCACAAUGGGCGUAAGCCUGAUGCAGCAACGCCGCGUGCGGGAUGACGGCCUUCGGGUUGUACCCCGCUUUCGCCUGUGACGAAGCGUGAGUGACGCUACUGGGUAAAGAAGCACCGGCUACCUACGUG
rnacentral:rRNA from 1 species